rnacentral:rRNA from 1 species
UUAUGUGAUCGUCUCUCGCAUAUCAAUAAGCGGAGGAAAAGAAACUAACAAGGAUUCCCCUAGUAACGGCGAGUGAAGCGGGAAGAGCUCAAAUUUGAAAUCUUAAAGGGUUUCCCUUUACGAAUUGUAGUUUAAAGAAGUGUUUUCUGUUGAGGUUUUGGUAAAAGUUCUUUGGAAUAGGACAUCAUAGAGGGUGAGAAUCCCGUAUUUGACCUUUACUUUCAACUUUGUGAUACACUUUCAAAGAGUCGGAUUGUUUGGGAAUGCAGUCCAAAAUGGGUGGUAAAUUUCAUCUAAAGCUAAAUAUUGGCGAGAGACCGAUAGCGAACAAGUACCGUGAGGGAAAGAUGAAAAGAACUUUGAAAAGAGAGUUAAACAGUACGUGAAAUUGUCAAAAGGGAAGCGUUUGACACCAGUGUUGUUUUUCUGAAAAUCAAUUAAAGAACUGUUUAUGCUAAGUUGUUUAGACUUUAUCAGCUAUCUGUUUAGUUUUGAGCUUUUCUUUAAUGCACUUUUCAGUUAACAAGUCAACAUCAAUUUCUUUUGCUGUAAAAAAGCUUGAGGAAGGUGGCUUGAGAUUCGUCUUAAGUGUUUAUAGCCUCUUGCCUAUGCAGUCGGAGAGAUUGAGGUCUGCAGCGUAGAUCCUUCGGGGCUAAAUGCAUUUGUGCUAAGUUAUAGCAUUUUAUAGACAACUUGUUGACUAUGACUUGUCUUGUAGCUUACUCGCUUAUGUUAUUUUACCUACGCUUAGGAUGUUGAUCUACAGAGCGAGAGU